CACGCCGUAAACGAUGAGUACUAAGUGUUGGAGAAAUUCAGUGCUGCAGUUAACGCAAUAAGUACUCCGCCUGAGUAGUACGUGCGCAAGCAUAAAACUCAAAGGAAUUGGCGGGACCUCGCACAAGCGGUGGAUCAUGUUGUUUAAUUCGAGGAUACGCGAAGAACCUUACCAGGCCUUGACAUCCCUUGCGAAGCUAUAGAGAUAUAGUAGAGGUUAUCAAGGAGACAGGUGG
rnacentral:rRNA from 1 species